AUGUCUCAAUUUUUGAUUUUGUUGAUGAUUUUGAGUUAUGCCAUUGAUGAAACUAUGAGUUUUGUGAAGUUAGUUGUUCAUAAAUGGAAAAUAUAAUUUGGGUUAAUAUCUUUUGUCUUUGGAUUUUUGAUGAUUUUGUGUAAAAUGGACUAAAUUGUCAUGACAUAUGGCAUGUAUAGGGACUUUGAGUCAUGUUGAUU
rnacentral:lncRNA from 1 species